rnacentral:lncRNA from 1 species
ACACGCAAAUCCAUGACUUUUCUUUAUUUUUUAACCACACAUUUCCCAUUAAUACACUAUUCAAAAAUGCAUUUUUUGACAACAAGGGGGUUUAAACAAGGGCUAAAUAAAUUUUGACUAUUUUGUUGCAGGCAAACCAUUCCAACAAUUCUUUUUUUUUUUUUAAUGAUUAUGGGUGUCCGGGCCAGCUCACGCGCACCUCGACUAAUCCCACGAGAACCUGAAAUUUACAGUCGGCUACUCACCUCAAUGGUCCUGAGGAGACUCGAACUGGUAACCAUUGGGGAGCAAACCAUUCCAACAAAUGAAUCAACAUAAAGCAGAAAAAAUCACUUGAUGAUGUCUUGCGUACAAGUAUCACAACUUGUCUACAGAGAGGAGACAGAUACACUAGUACAAACAUGUGAGUGAUACUAAGAAAAUUCAGAUUCUCUCAGUGCAGAACCGACACUCUUAAUGAGUCAGCAUAAAGCAUAAAAACUCAACCUGAUGGUGUCAUGGGAACAAGUUUUGAAGACAACUCAUCUACAGAUGGUAUUGUAACAGUGCACCCACUUAACAACACACCAAUAAACAGAAAUCUCAUUGCAUGUGGAUGCUUUCUAUAAAAAUCACCUUACCUCGUAUACAAACUAUGAUAUUACAACAACAAUCCAGAAUUUUUCAGUAAUUGUGAAAACUAAAAGACUCAGCCAAUCAAUCUUGUUUACUUUUUUCGCGUCAAUAAUCAGUGUAACAACUUUUUGAGACUACAGCUGCAACAUGAGCCUGCUUGGUUAGUUGGUUAGAAGGGGAAAAAUUCACAGUAAGCUCAUUUUUUUN